ensembl:lncRNA
CAGCUGUUUGUGUCCUGCAUGCACAUCGACUUCACCCAGCAGCACCUUGCAGCAGGGAAUCCGACAGCAAACAUGCCCUGAACGUCAUGACCUUUGCUUAAGGUGAUGGUGGGUCCAGCCCCACUCCAAGUCCUGCGAAGCUCCCUCUGAGUCAGCUCUUUCUUCGCCUUCUUGUCCAGAUUGCAGGGAGAAUCGGAAAGCUACUCCACCUGCUUGGAGACAACAGUGGCACUAAGCCAUGAUGGCAGGUCCCCAGCACAGCAGCAUGUAUUUUGCUCGACGUGGGUGGUGUUCACUUGUGGAGCAGCUCUUCAGCAGCCUGUGGGAAGCUGAUCGGUCUUCUCAGUGGGGCAGUUUGGGUUCAGGAGGGAUAAUUUAAGACAAAGGCUAUCAGCCGGUUGUCCAUCCUAGGAAAAGUGGUUGAACCCUCCCAGGGGCUGCCUUCCAGUGGAAUGAGGAGCUGCUUGACAUAGGGAUCUUUUCUCGGUUCCUGGCCAGAGCUCCACUCCUGACCACUCCCCAUCAAGCUGGCCAGGAGGUUCCCUUUACCACCUGCCAACACUGAGCGCUCCAAGUGAUUCAGCUUGCCUUCCUGCUGACAGCUAAGCUGCAUCCCUCAAGCCCUGGAUCAACCCAUCACGUCACCGAGGAGGUUUCUUGCAAGAGCAUCAUCCGCUUGGC